rnacentral:lncRNA from 1 species
GUAAAGUCCAUCUUCAAAAGAACAAGUAAUCCAUCAGGAAUAGAAGUAAUCCAUCCAUGUGACCUGUAAGAUAUCCAUCUUACACAUCAGGCAUACAUCCCAUGUGCUUUCUCUCUGUAAGACUCCAUUUUUACAACUUACAAGAUAUUACCCCUCCUCCUUCUUCCUGACGUAACCCACCAAUCAGGAUAGAGGAAACGGUGUUAGUCUCUGCCUCAGUUUCCCACAGGAUCCAGGUGUUAUUUACAGAAUGCUGGUUGGAAUAUUGUGGCUACGAAUGUCCUUCUCUGCGGCCUGCGAUAAGCUUUGCAACGCAGAGAUGAAAACUGCUGUUAGUAAUUUUUCAGCACAGACCCUUUAUUAACCCAAAAUGGAUUCUCUAUUGCUAAACUCAUAACUACAAAACCCAUCACUGUAGCAUAUUAUACUUUCAAAAACACAUCUCAUUACAAGAUGUAAUUGUGGCAGCUGACCUGUUUGUCAGAAAAUUGGACAUGCGAUUCAGGUUACUGAAGCUGAACUUCAGAGAAUGCCUGUUAUUUUCAAACCUUUGAAAUAAACCGAGUUGGGACGUUGUGGGACCUUUUCCACCCAGUAAGACUGUUUUCUCCUUCCCGCUUCCAGUGGCCUUUGAGGAGGUGACCCCGUAUUGACCCCAACAAGAGCGUGGGAUCUUCUGGAUCGAGGCUUAAGAUCUCUGCACGAGGACCUCCUGCUGGAGAUUUCUGGGAACAACGUCUCUCCAGCCCUCUCAAAGUCCUACUAUUCUACUUCAGCCCAACCCAACGGCAAACAAGAGGGCUAAGUGGAAGGAACGAUCUGCUCAAGCAGGGCAGGAUCCUCUCCAUCCCAGGUCUGCCUCCCACGCAGUUCGGCUCAGUUUGUUCUGGGAUCCCAUCGAGUUAGAGCAUCAUUGCCUUCACACAGAGGGACUUCCAGCGGUGCCGGCAUAAAAUCGGCUUGGCCGUCCUGUCUUCUCAAUCCUGCACGAAUGGACAGCUGUUAAAAUCAGAGAGCCCCUGUUCUUCUUGGCACCCGAACCCCCUUGUUUAGGUCGUUUAGUGAAAGACCAAUUGGCUCCAGAUAACGGAGAGAUGGAUAACAUCCUUGCUCCCCUGCAGACCAGUGGGAAGAAGGUUAAAUCAGGACUGCUG